CCCACACACACUUGGUCAGUUUUCCCACUCUCUCUAGCAGCCCAUUUUCAUCCUCACUCACUAUCUCUAACAAAACUGGCGACCCGGCCAUCUCUCUAGCUCUUCCCCGAAACCCUAGCCCUCUCCUCCUUCCUCUCCCGCUCUCUUUUCACGGCCACCACUACCUCCCUCUCCUCCGCUCACUCCCGUUACUAUCUCUCCGGCGCCAUGCCUCCGCUGGCAAGCUCUCUCUCUCUCUCUCUCUCUCUCUCUCUCUCUCUCUCUCACACACUUUCUCUCUCUAAAACCCUCUCAGUCUCUCUCUGGAAUUGACAAAGAUGAAGUCUACGCAGCCUGCAAGGAGAAAAGCUCCUCCGCCUUCAGAUCUAACUAUACGGCCUUGGAUUCAAAGCCUUCGCCGGCGGCUAAGUUGAAGAGUUCGUUGCCGCCAAGGCCGCCGCCGUCAAGUCCUCUCAAACGGAAGCUGGGACGCUUCCUAAGAACUCCGUCCAUGAAGCCUCUGGAUCUCUUCGUCGAGUGAUUGAGUUUCUGGGCUGCAUUCCUCUGCUUCAGCGCCUACCCAAUAAGUCUGUGGAGCACUUGUUCUCUACUUCUCUCUCAUUUGAGUCGGUUCUCUCGACAUUCCUUCUCUCUCUCUCUCUCUCUCUCAGUCAAAUUCUUUUCUUUUCUUCUUUUAGAUUUUUAAAUUUCUAUUAAAUUGAUUUGAUUCAGAUUUACUGCUUUUAGUUUGCCGAUCAUUGUAAAUAUUUAAUUUCUCAAGUGAAGUGCUCAUUAGAUUACUCAAGGUCUCCGGGCUUGAAAGAUUUGAACCAAUUUGGGUAAAGUUUCCCUGCCACUUAGUGUGCCCGCAUUAAUGUGAAACCCUUAUCUUGGAUGGAUCAUAAAUCCUUAACUUACUCAUACAUCCCUUAAAUCUAUGUAUUGCAGAUUCUAUAUGCAUGUGCCUUGAUGCUCACUUUUUGUUUGCAGAAAAGCUCAUUUCUUUACUAGUUUUUCAGUGUUGUUCAUCACUAUUGACUUCUUCCAUGUUGGUUAUCCAAGAUCUUCUGGUAUACUGGUAUCUGACCGCCCAUAUAUUCUGUUCAGAUACAUACAUAUUUCAGUUCCAGGCAAGCAGUACAGGUAUGUAAUCUUCUGAGUUAUAAACUGUCUUUGGCAUUAUAUUUUAUUAUUGCUUUUUAGUUUUUCUCAAUGGUUCACCUGGAAUUCUUGUGUUAAACUGCAUGUGUUCAGGAUAUUUGCAAACUCUAGUAAUAAUGGAACCAGUGAGCAACCUCUUGGUAUAUUACCUCAUCAAAUCCGUGGUUCUCUUGGUAUAAACUUAUAUGGGGUUUAUAUUUAGUAAUUGGUGCAAAUACGAAUUACUAUUACAACCAUUGCAUAUGAUUCAACAAAACUUGUAGUUUUCAGUACUUGUACCUGGUAGCAGUCUAGCAGGCAUCUCAUUCUAUUUCUUUGUGUCAAUAAAACUAGAGAACUACCUCUACAAUAUGUUUUCUAGGUAUUGAGUUAGACGACAAUGAAAUUAGGAUUUCAUUAUGUAAGCAGCAAUAUAUGAGCAACAUUUUUCUUUUUGCACAGAAACUGAGGUUUUGUAAUAUAACAAAGGAGGAGUAGGAUAAGGGCCUCUGAAGAAUUAUUGUUCUCUGUGGACAUGGCAGCUCGGAGACUCUCCUCCUUACUCUCUCACUCUCUUUCUGCUGGGUCUGCUUCUAAGCUUCUCUCUCAAGUGGAGCUGUGUAUUGAAGUUGGUGUUUUAUUGGAAGCUUGAGCAGUUUAGCGAUUUGUUAGUGCAGGAAAAUCAAGGAGACUGCUUUUUGUUUUGAGGUGCAGGCAAAUGGUAUGGCAGCAUACUUUGUGACAUUGACUACAUACCUUGGCCUUUGGUGUGGCAGAAUAUUACUUGCCUGACAUACUUUCUCCACCAAAUGGUAUGGCAGAAUAUUACUUUGCUUGACAGUUUCUUCUGGAUAUCAGACUUAUAUAAGUCAUCCAUGGAGGAGAAGAGGAAAUUGCAGAUACCAUGCCUAGAAUUAAGGCUGCCAAGAAUUGUUCUUUUCAGAGAAUUGAAUUUGUAUAUUAAUUUUAAUUUUUUUUAAUAUGAAAUAUUGCACUCACCAUUGCUGGAUAGUGUGUUUUCUGGUGAUGGGGCCCUCAGUUUGAAAGUCACCAAAAAAGUGAUAGUGCCUUUUUGAGUCUUUGUCACGCUAGCAAUGGCAACCCUUCAAAUUUUGGUGUCUAAGAUGGUGACUAUUGCCAUUACACACCAAUCAUGGUUGUCUUUUACUUCAAUCCACACCAUUGUGAAUGGUGUUUAUAGCUCAGUUUUGUUGUAGUGUCUGUUUUCGCAGGUUUCUGUCCUCUGUUUUCUUUUAAUUAAUUAGCAUAGAAAAUGAUCUCCAAAAUCCCUAAAAAUUUACCAGUAUCCAGUUUAGUGUGUUCGCUUAGUGUCUAUGAAAUUUCAUUGAAAUCGGAGUAGUUUAGGUUAGGUUUUUAUUAUUGUUUUGGUUUAUGGUCAGAGUCAUAGUUAAUCUACUUUGUGUUUAUUAGUUUAGUUGUUAUUCCAUCUUCUGUGGGUAAUGAUCCCUGCUUCCCUAUCUUCAUUUGUUUAUCAGUUGUCAAACUGCUGGGGAGUGGACAAUAUAUCCGUGGAUCCACAGCAAUUGUAAUUCGCUUUCAGAUGAUGAACAAACUUCGUCCCGUUUCAAUACCAGAUAUUCAUCCCGCAAGGUCUUGUUGACUCCAAGUCAUUUAGCUACUGUCAUGUAAUAUGCAGCUGGUGGUGAGCUAUUUGAGAGGAUAUAUAGUGCUGGUAGAUUUAGUGAAGCUGAGAACAAUGCAAAGUUGUCAGAUUUUGGCUUGGUUAAGGAUGGGCCAACAGGUGAUAAAAGCCAUGUCUCUCCUAGGGUGAUGGACACAUAUAGAUAUGCAGCCCCAGAAUAUCUAGUGGGCAGCGAAGACUCGGAAAGUAUACACCCAAGAGGAACUUGACGAGGUCCGCAUUGAAGUAGCUGACUAUUUGCAGACUUUGCUAUAGAUGCUGACUCUACCAAAGUGAUUUUGAGUAAGGCUAGCUAGAUUUUGUAGAACCAUUUUGAAGUAGAUAGUUGUACAGUUGCAGGUGAACUAAACUGCAUAUAGUUAUUGCAAUGGUCUAUUUUGGGCUAGCCUUGAUGUAGGUUGGGGUGUUUUUGCCUAUUUUUGGAACUAUUAACAAUUCUGAUGUUGGACAGAAAUUAAUGCAAUGCCCCAUAUUCAAUUAAUUCAGAA